CCGACGGGAGGCAGCAGUGAGGAAUAUGGGUCAAUGGACGAGAGUCGGAACCAGCCAAGUAGCGUGAAGGAUGACUGCCCGAUGGGUUGUAAACUUCUUUUAUAUGGGAAUAAAAUGUGCCACGGGUGGGAUUUUGUAUGUACCAUAUGAAUAAGGAUCGGCUAACUCCGUGCCAGCAGCCGCGGUAAUACGGAGGAUCCGAGCGUUAUCCGGAUUUAUUGGGUUUAAAGGGAGCGUAGGUGGAUUGUUAAGUCAGUUGUGAAAGUUUGCGGCUCAACCGUAAAAUUGCAGUUGAAACUGGCAGUCUUGAGUACAGUAGAGGUGGGCGGAAUUCGUGUUGUAGCGGUGAAAUGCUUAGAUAUCACGAAGAACUCCGAUUGCGAAGGCAGUUCACUGGACUGCAACUGACACUGAGGCUCGAAAGUGUGGGUAUCAAACAGGCUUAGAUCCCCCUGUAGUC
rnacentral:rRNA from 1 species